CGGGGCGUAGCGCAGCCUGGNNACUCGCUUGGGGUGCGAGUGGUCGCCCGUUCAAAUCGGGUCGCCCCGACCA
rnacentral:tRNA from 1 species